GACGAACGCUGGCGGCGUGCUUAACACAUGCAAGUCGAACGCUGAAGCCUAGCUUUUGUUGGGUGGAUGAGUGGCGAACGGGUGAGUAACACGUGAGUAACCUGCCCCCUUCUUUGGGAUAACGCCCGGAAACGGGUGCUAAUACUGGAUAUUCACUGAUCUUCGCAUGGGGGUUGGUGGAAAGGUUUUUUCUGGUGGGGGAUGGGCUCGCGGCCUAUCAGCUUGUUGGUGGGGUGAUGGCCUACCAAGGCUUUGACGGGUAGCCGGCCUGAGAGGGUGACCGGUCACAUCGGGACUGAGAUACGGCCCAGACUCCUACGGGAGGCAGCAGUGGGGAAUAUUGCACAAUGGGCGAAAGCCUGAUGCAGCGACGCCGCGUGAGGGAUGGAGGCCUUCGGGUUGUAAACCUCUUUCGCUCAUGGUCAAGCCGCAACAUUGGUUGUGGUGAGGGUAGUGGGUAAAGAAGCGCCGGCUAACUACGUGCCAGCAGCCGCGGUAAUACGUAGGGCGCGAGCGUUGUCCGGAAUUAUUGGGCGUAAAGGGCUUGUAGGCGGUUGGUCGCGUCUGCCGUGAAAUCCUCUGGCUUAACUGGGGGCGUGCGGUGGGUACGGGCUGACUUGAGUGCGGUAGGGGAGACUGGAACUCCUGGUGUAGCGGUGGAAUGCGCAGAUAUCAGGAAGAACACCGGUGGCGAAGGCGGGUCUCUGGGCCGUUACUGACGCUGAGGAGCGAAAGCGUGGGGAGCGAACAGG
rnacentral:rRNA from 1 species